GAAAUGACAAAACAAGAGAGCUAAUAGCUCCCAGAGAGACGUGCAUCUUUGUGAGCUCCCGCAGCGUGCCUGCCUGUCUGCAAACACGGCGGUGUGUGUAGGCAGGCCUGUGGCAAGGAGGUGACCUGUUAGCGUACAAUGGUAAGUGCAAAAUUAGCUAUUAUAGAAUAGAUGCCAGUAAACAUCUCCAAACAAGCCCCAAACAGGUCAGAUUAAAUUUCUCCUUAUUUGUGAUUCCACAGUGGUGUCUUAGAUUCAUGUGGAGUUUCUCUACUUACGUGACUGGAGGAGACCCAAGGAGAAUGUCAGUCAUAGCCUGAUUAGCAUGAAUUCCUUAAACUAAGGCUUCAUCGUUGACAACUGUGAAAUAAACUUAUUCUUCCAAGAGUAACCAGAGGACAGGAAGCUGUGGAGACCUAACAGUCGAGAUGAAAACUUCAGCCAGAUGUGUAGUUUGUGUUAAAUUUUUUUUUUUAAAAAAGGCAAUGACAAUAAGGAGUGCUGAUGAAUUUACAAGACUUCCUUAAACCCUUGGCUGUGGCAUCAACUUUUUCGCUUGCUCUGACUAGGCAGCAGCUUUCCUUGAAAGCUGAAAAGGGCCAAACUAAGAAUGCAAGAAGGAAAAGAACGCUGAAAACAAGGAGGUUUGUGAAACAGGAAGCAGGGUAUCUCACAAUAUUACUCCCUUUCUCCUUGGGACCACUGAUUUCAUGAAAUUUUGAAGCAAGGGCAGCCACCUUCAUCCUCAGUCUGAGUAAACAUCUGCUAAUCAUCUAAUCUCAAGCCCCAAGAGGACUGGCCCGUGUGGUGGGUAAGCCUGAACAGCUUGAUGGAGUUGUACAAGUGUAGGCUUCACUGCUUUGAUCUCGGGUGUAACCUUCUUCAUUUUUCUUUCGGAAGCACACUUUGUAGCUGCCUGCGGGUGUGUGGGCACACAAAUACACGUAUCUGCUUUCAAGCAGUUCAUCUUAAAGAUAAAUGAGGAAAGGAACAUCCCUGACACAAGGGUUGUCUGUGCGCGCUUAGAGGUGCCUGGUCUGACUGGCCACCAGAGGCUCCCAGCUGGAGCGCUGCAUGGGACAAGGUACUUCCCAAAAGGUGCUUCCCUGGGUUCGCUUGGCUGGAAACAAACCAGAGCAGGUGAGGGAGGGGCGCAGGGGAAGCGAAUAUAAGUAGAUAAUUUACAUGAGAGUUUUAGUCAAAGUAGCUGAAGUUUUUGCA